rnacentral:rRNA from 1 species
UACAGAGGUCUCAAGCGUUGUUCGGAUUCAUUGGCGUAAAGGGUGCGUAGGCGGGUCUUUAAGUCAGAGGUGAAAUCCUGGAGCUCAACUCCAGAACUGCCUUUGAUACUGAGGGUCUUGAGUAUGACAGAGGUGAGUGGAACUGCGAGUGUAGAGGUGAAAUUCGUAGAUAUUCGCAAGAACACCAGUGGCGAAGGCGGCUCACUGGGUCAUUACUGACGCUGAGGCACGAAAGCGUGGGGAGCAAACAGG